UUUAACACAAAUUUUAUUCAUGGCUUAUAUUAUUUUAGUACUUAAUUAAUUUAUCCAUUAAUUAUUUUCAUCCUUAGUACUUUAUUAGUGGUUUUUAAGUAAUUCUGUUUCAUAAAAAUUAUCUUUAUUUUAAAUGAUUUUAUUCUAAUUUACAAUUUUUAUUGUUAGUGUAUAAUUUUUCAAGAAUACUUCUAUUACCAUAUCACACGUAUUGUAAGUUAAAGGAAGAGGGCAUAAAAAAAAAUGUGUACCCAGGGCAGCAAAAUCCUAAAUACGCUUCUGACCACGACAUUGAUGUCUAGCAUAAUAGUUACACGAUAUCUAAAUCGUUUGUAACUGCAAGUACUGGAGUCGUAUAUAGACCAAACAAUUGAAAAAAUAGCAACAUUAUGUUCCAGCAAUCAGUUAUAAGUUAUAACUAUUAUAAGCUGUGGUUGACAGGCGACAGUUUAUUGGACAACUGAACAUAGUAUACUUAUUUAUUCAACACGUUGUAUAUAGUUCUAUAAACGCGGUAUAAACAUUAAACAUGCCUAAUAUUAAAUUUAUAAUCAUAACAAUGGUGUAAUUUAGUCAUGUUUGUAAGGGGAGAUGAAAUGUUUUUACAUUUUACCUAUAACCUAUAACCUUCUCCCCCACCAAAAAAUGUAUUUAUCAUACAAGCAUUUCCUUCUAGUGCAAUAAAUAUAUGUACGCAUAUGACACGGAAACAAAUAAUUACAAAAUAUUCAAUAAUAUAUACAAUAUCAGUAAAUAAAUGUAGUUAACUAGUCUAAUAGUUAUCUUUUAUCUAAACACGACACCCAAAUCCCCCCCGUAUUUACACCACUGUUUUAACAUAUUAGUGUAUUUAUUUGUACACUUCAAAACAGACAUAAGCAAAGGAAAUAAUUAAAUGAAUUAUUAUAAAAAGGCUUUCUGUCAAGAGGAGAAAAUAAAAUUUAAGUAUACAUACGAUCAGACCAAUCAGU